UACGUAGGGUGCAAGCGUUAAUCGGAAUUACUGGGCGUAAAGCGUGCGCAGGCGGUUUUGUAAGUCUGUCGUGAAAUCCCCGGGCUCAACCUGGGAAUUGCGAUGGAGACUGCAAGGCUAGAAUCUGGCAGAGGGGGGUAGAAUUCCGACGUGUAGCAGUGAAAUGCGUAGAGAUGUGGAGGAACACCGAUGGCGAAGGCAGCCCCCUGGGUCAAGAUUGACGC
rnacentral:rRNA from 1 species